UGAAGAGUAAUGUGGCCCGUGCACCUGCUCGUAAGUAUGACAAGACCGAUGCAUUUCACAGCUCUCACAGCCUCCACAUGUGCCGCAUUGAUUGCCUGCUGAGCAAUCUAGAAAGAGCCUACACACUGCACUUGACAAUGCAGUUCAACAUAUGAAACUAAGCAACUAAUCUACAAAAAAAAGUCGGCUUGGCUACUUGGCAUCCAACCAUAAAAAGAGAAAACUCACCAGUGAGAAAAAGAACAUAGGGCUUCAUGGAUCAUGAAAUUGCUGCUCCUCAUGCAUCAUCUCCAUUGGAUAGUUUUUUUUUCUGAACCACUGUAUGAGGGACCUGGAAGAAAGCAAGACAAAAAUAUAACUCAGUAAAUGAAGACUGCAUUUUCCAGUAAAUUGAGGCCUAGUCUAGAAAAAGAGCCGAGGCUUGAGGCGGCAACUAAUAUGUACAGAAUGAAAGAAGCUAUCAAAAGUGACGCAAAAAAGAAGGGAAGAAGAUUGAUGACUGAAAACAAACACUGAGAUUUGUAAUUUUUGAACUCAAAUUGAAAUAGUAGGCUAGCUCAGUUUCAAAUAUUAUUAGCUCCCCAAUACUCCUAUAUGCAACAACUGGAUAAAUAACCCAUAGGAUAAUAAAAAACAAGUUGGUUUGCCGUAUAAGAAGCAUCACCAAGGUUACUAACGCCAUCAUGACUCCAGCUUCAGCAACGCCCUCUGAUAAUCUAAUAAAACAUAUAAGUUCCGUUGACCACUUAUAUUAAAAGGAAAGUAAAAUACUUCUGUUACUUUGAAAAUGACCUCAGGCUCAACUAACAUUUGUUAUUAGUUAAGCUCAUCAAGACUGAAUUCCCUGACUGACCAUUAAUACAUCAAUCCCCACACUUCUGGUUCUGUUCUUUGUAACAUUGACUGAUUACAUGUGGCACACACUGUUGGUGCUUUUCAAAGAAGCCAGCAUGUGAAAAGUAGCAGAACCACUACAGUAGAAAAGGCCAUCUAGUUACUGAACCGGCCAUGCAUGUACACAGUACAUAAACGCUGAAUGUUCAACGCCAUAGAAACCCCAAAUGUUUUCUCUUCUUCAGCCUCUAAUGCGCACUGAUCGAUCGCUUUAUCAAGAUAGAGACUGCACCCGAGAACUACUGCCACAACCGCAUCCAUACAUGAGAUCUAUCGAGCAUUUUCUGCAACAAAUAAAGUAAAGUUUACCCAGAAUCCCAACCCAUAUGUCUCUCCCCUCUCCUGCAACUCGCAGGACAACAAGUAUAACAACCAGUAUAUAUGGACACAGCUGCAUGAGAGCACAUCAAGGAACAACAGUCAAGGUGCUUGUUCAGUAUACACACCUUCGCAAGCAUUAUCUUCUCCUUUUCAUAUUUGAUUUCUAGCACAUAAUAAACAUCGUCAUCCAUAUUUCAAAGUCCUGGUUGUUAAUUUUGCAUCAUGUGUGUGGCAAUCUGGGUUCGGCAAAAAGCUCUGAAUCCUUUCCUCAUAAUCUUCGUGUUUUAAUAGUCUUCCCUGCCAAAGAAUAAUUAUUGGAAACAAGAAACAUAAGAGGUUUUAUAUGCUAAUGAUAAUAUGCUACAUAAAUACAAAAAAACGAAAAAAAAUAACCAGAGAUGAGAUGAACAAAAAAAUUGAGCUUGUAGUACAAAUACCAACUACAAACACCUUAUCGUAGCUUAUAAGGAAAUCAUUUUGUCAAGCGUAUAGUACAAAAACGAAAUACUCUGUAGAAACAUAUAGAUAGAAAGGCUCAAUGGCAAUGGGCAUAUCUGCAGCGGAGCCGCAACCUGAAGUAUUGUUGCCAUACUUAUCUACGCUAAAAAGGAUAGAGAGUGACCCAUGUGCAUUGAGGGAUACACUAAAGUUAGUUUUGUACCUAAGCUUGGUUUGUGAAAAAGGCAAAAGCAAUUAUUUAUGUGCUUAACACACCAGCAAAUCAAAUGCAGCCUCCACUACAUGUCAAUAGUUCCAAGAAAAACAAAAAUAUAAUACGAUAUUUAAUUAUAUGCAUACAACAAAUAGUACCACUCAGAAAUUGGUGUCACCAUUCCUCAAAAUAGAAAUUUUCAACCUUUCCAACCUUUUUUAAAUUACAACAAAGAGUACCAUUGUUUAAGUUUUAAGAAAAAGGAGAAGAAAAGUUGAGAACAGUGGGUUCAACAUGAGAUUAGAACCUACAGCAGCCACCAUGGCAAGGAGCUGAGGAUAGGGAAAUGUGAUAAUUUCAAGGAGAUAACUUUGUCUAGUUUUAUAUUCUAUAAUGUCGAAUUUUGAAAACGUUUUUCUAUUAUUAUGUUGACACUAUGACAACAUGUUUCACCAGGAUAAAAUCUUGUCAAAAUUAUUUGUCUAGUUCAAACAGGAUAUCAAGUUAUUAUGCUAUAUGACAUGAAGUGUACACGUUUCACUUGGCAAAACAGAACAUACACAGGAUCGGCAAAACAGAACAUGAAGUGUCCAGACCUUGGUUGUAGCAAAGGUAUUCGAUCCUGUUCCCCACGGACCACGGUGCAACCACAACAAGGCCAUGAACAUGAACUGGAAGAGGAAAAUCAGCACCAAAUCAUGUAAUAUUGUCUGCACUCCACAUUUUACAAUUCAUAACUGCACCCAUUUUUUUUUUCAAACAGAAAAUAAUUAAGAAUUAAGUCUCAGCCUGGGACCCUCUAAUUAAAAGUUCCAUACAACAACUAAGCUAAUAUCCAAAGUACUCCAAUCAUGAAGUUUGAAUAGAAAAUCAAAGAGAUAACAAUCCUACUUUACCUGUAAUUGGAAUGCAGCUAAUGAGAUAGUUUCCAUGGAGCAAAUCAUUCCAUCUUUGAGACAAUUAACACCAUAUGUCUUAGCUCGGAACUUCAUCUACAGAUAGAAAACUUCAAGGGGAGCAUAACGCUAGCUAGAUUUCCAAAAAAUAAACAUCAAGACAGAGGAUUGCAAUACAAGAUAAAAAAGUAUCUGAAAUAUUUCAUCGGUAGAAGAAACAAAUUUAAUAUCCUUGAUCUUGACAUGCCUACAAAUCGGAAGAACAUCAAUGACAUAUGGAGAAGCAUAAAUAUCAAGAUCUGGAGGAGAUUAUUAUGUGAUGGUCAGUAGACACUGAGAGAGAGAGAGAGAGAGAGAGAGAGAGAGGAGCGGAGGGGAGGGGAAUCUCACCUCAGCCAUUGCUUGAUGUUCGUGCCGCUCCCCAAAAUAUGCCAGUGGUCGCAUGUCCCCGCCACCACACACAUGGUCCUAGGCGGAGCCGUGCACCUUCUCCUGGAGCACCCCCUCGUCGGUGCCGAUCUUGCGCACCUCCUCGUGCCGUACGCGUCACCGUUGUUGGCUGCUCUGGUCACGGGGUUCCUCCUGUACGGAGUGGCUCUGUACAAGCUGAGUUGCCCCGGGUCCUCGCGGUGCGCUUCGCCGCCGGCGUGCUCGUGGUGGAGCAUGUGAGGACGGAGGAGGAGGAGCUCGGGGCAGGCCAGGGAGGGGGUAAGAGGAGAGAUGCAGGAGGGGCGCGGCUAGGGUUCAUGGGGCGGCGGCUGAGAGCCUGAGACGAGUGAGGAGGGAGGGAGGGGCGUGCGGCUUUGGGGGAUUGGGGGGCCAAUGGGGCAAUGGGCUUUCCAGCAGGCACAACCAAU
rnacentral:lncRNA from 1 species